UACGUAGGGGUCUAGCGUUGUCCGGAAUCAUUGGGCGUAAAGAGCUCGUAGGCGGUUCGGCAAGUCGGAUGUGAAAUCUCCACGCUCAACGUGGAGGGGCCAUUCGAAACUGCCGUGACUCGAGUCCGGUAGGGGAGUGCGGAAUUCCCGGUGUAGCGGUGAAAUGCGUAGAGAUCGGGAAGAACGCCAAGGGCGAAGGCACUCUGCUAGGCCUGAUUUCGCGACUGACACUCAGGGACGAGAGCCAGGGGAGCGAAUGGG
rnacentral:rRNA from 1 species